rnacentral:rRNA from 1 species
AGUGAACGCUGGCGGCGUGCCUAAUACAUGCAAGUCGAACGGAGAGGCGCGCGGGUGAGUAAUAUAUAGCUAAUUCUCCCUUUUGUAGAGGAAUACAGUUAGGAAUGUCUGCCAAAACUCCAUAUCCAGGGAUGAGACUACAACGGAUCAGCUAGUCGGUGAGGUAACGGCCUACCGAGGGUAUGACGCGUAACUGGUCUGUGAGGAUGAUCAGUCACAUUGGAACGGAGACACGGUUCAAGAUCCUUCGAGAAGCAGCGGUAGGGUAUAGUGCGCAAGGGGGGAAUCCGAAGCGCAGCAAAGGCGCGUGAAGGAUGACACUUUUCGGAGCGUAAGCUCCUUUUGUUAGGGAAGCGGUACCUAACGAAUAAGCACCGGCUAACUCCGUGCCAGCAGCCGCGGUAAUAC